GAUGAACGCUGGCGGCGUGCCUAAUACAUGCAAGUCGAGCGAACGGACGAGAAGCUUGCUUCUCUGAUGUUAGCGGCGGACGGGUGAGUAACACGUGGAUAACCUACCUAUAAGACUGGGAUAACUUCGGGAAACCGGAGCUAAUACCGGAUAAUAUUUUGAACCGCAUGGUUCAAAAGUGAAAGACGGUCUUGCUGUCACUUAUAGAUGGAUCCGCGCUGCAUUAGCUAGUUGGUAAGGUAACGGCUUACCAAGGCAACGAUGCAUAGCCGACCUGAGAGGGUGAUCGGCCACACUGGAACUGAGACACGGUCCAGACUCCUACGGGAGGCAGCAGUAGGGAAUCUUCCGCAAUGGGCGAAAGCCUGACGGAGCGACGCCGCGUGAGUGAUGAAGGUCUUCGGAUCGUAAAACUCUGUUAUUAGGGAAGAACAGAUGUGUAAGUAACUGUGCACAUCUUGACGGUACCUAAUCAGAAAGCCACGGCUAACUACGU
rnacentral:rRNA from 1 species